rnacentral:rRNA from 1 species
UUAUGAAUAAGGAUCGGCUAACUCCGUGCCAGCAGCCGCGGUAAUACGGAGGAUCCGAGCGUUAUCCGGAUUUAUUGGGUUUAAAGGGAGCGUAGGUGGACUGGUAAGUCAGUUGUGAAAGUUUGCGGCUCAACCGUAAAAUUGCAGUUGAUACUGUCAGUCUUGAGUACAGUAGAGGUGGGCGGAAUUCGUGGUGUAGCGGUGAAAUGCUUAGAUAUCACGAAGAACUCCGAUUGCGAAGGCAGCUCACUGGACUGCAACUGACACUGAUGCUCGAAAGUGUGGGUAUCAAACAGGAUUAGAUACCCUGGUAGUCCACACAGUAAACGAUGAAUACUCGCUGUUUGCGAUAUACAGUAAGCGGCCAAGCGAAAGCAUUAAGUAUUCCACCUGGGGAGUACGCCGGCAACGGUGAAACUCAAAGGAAUUGACGGGGGCCCGCACAAGCGGAGGAACAUGUGGUUUAAUUCGAUGAUACGCGAGGAACCUUACCCGGGCUUAAAUUGCAGUGGAAUGAUGUGGAAACAUGUCAGUGAGCAAUCACCGCUGUGAAGGUGCUGCAUGGUUGUCGUCAGCUCGUGCCGUGAGGUGUCGGCUUAAGUGCCAUAACGAGCGCAACCCUUAUCUUCAGUUACUAACAGGUCAUGCUGAGGACUCUGGAGAGACUGCCGUCGUAAGAUGUGAGGAAGGUGGGGAUGACGUCAAAUCAGCACGGCCCUUACGUCCGGGGCUACACACGUGUUACAAUGGGGGGUACAGAGGGCCGCUACCACGCGAGUGGAUGCCAAUCCCCAAAACCUCUCUCAGUUCGGACUGGAGUCUGCAACCCGACUCCACGAAGCUGGAUUCGCUAGUAAUCGCGCAUCAGCCACGGCGCGGUGAAUACGUUCCCGGGCCUUGUACACACCGCCCGUCAAGCCAUGGGAGCCGGGGGUACCUGAAGUACGUAACCGCAAGGAUCGUCCUAGGGUAAAACUGGUGACUGGGGCUAAGUCGUAACAAGGUAGCCGUACCGGAAGGUGCGGCUG